AUUAGCUCAGUUGGUAGAGCACCUGACUCUUAAUCAGGGUGUCCAGGGUUCGAAUCCCUGAU
rnacentral:tRNA from 7 species